UACGAAGGGGGCUAGCGUUGCUCGGAAUUACUGGGCGUAAAGGGAGCGUAGGCGGACUGUUAAGUUAGAGGUGAAAGCCCAGGGCUCAACCUUGGAAUUGCCUUUGAUACUGGGAGUCUUGAGUACGGAAGAGGUAUGUGGAACUCCGAGUGUAGAGGUGAAAUUCGUAGAUAUUCGGAAGAACACCAGUGGCGAAGGCGACAUACUGGUCCGUUACUGACGCUGAGGCUCGAAAGCGUGGGGAGCGAUCCGG
rnacentral:rRNA from 1 species